CUGAAUAACUCAGCUGAUCGCACAGUCCUAGCACUGGUGACAUAUCUUUCAAGUGUCUGCCUUAUCAACUGUCGAUGGUAGUUUACAUGACUACCAUGGUUGUAACGGGUAACGGAGAAUAAGGGUUCGACUCCGGAGAGGGAGCCUGAGAAACGGCUACCACAUCCAAGGAAGGCAGCAGGCGCGCAAAUUACCCAAUCUCAGCUCGAGGAGGUAGUGACGAAAAAUAACGAGACGGUUCUCUAUGAGGUCCGUCAUUGGAAUGGGUACAAUUUAAACCCUUUAACGAGGAUCUAUUGGAGGGCAAGUCUGGUGCCAGCAGCCGCGGUAAUUCCAGCUCCAAUAGCGUAUAUUAAAGUUGUUGCGGUUAAAAAG
rnacentral:rRNA from 1 species